GCAAAGACUGAACUUUGGAGUGAAAACCUACUUUAUUCGAUAGGAAAGGUAACUAUUAAGGGUACGCCCUAGUUUGCAUUUUAUGAUUUUAUUUUGUAUGUAACCAUUUGUUUCCACCAUUCACGCUUGUUUCUCUUUGAAUCUCUACUCUUUCUUAACUGAAUUUCCUUUUAUUUUACUAUAAUUGAACUCAACAGCUAUGAACCCAACAGCUGU